GGCGGCUGCCUGGGCGAGAUCAACAAGUCGGGGCUGAGCUUCGGCUCCGCGCUCGCUGCUAUUCUGUCCCGCACUUCGGAGCGCCCGGAGCCGGGCACCAAGGCAGGACGGCGCCACCUGCACAGCUGGCCUCGCGAUCCCGCCUUCCUUCGUCCCGUCAACAACGUGUGUUGAACGCCUCCUGUGCGCGAGCCGCGGUGCAGGGCACGGUGACAGGCGUCUGAGAUACAGCUGUGAAUCAAACACAAACAUCCGGCCCUCGUGGAGCUGGUUGGAAACAGAUCAUAAACAAAAAAGCGAAAGGAUAUAUGAGGCGGUGACAAGCGCUGGGGGAAAUAAUGAAACAGGAGGAAGGGUCAGAGGGUGGGAGGGGGCAGAUCGGAACUGUAAAUAGCCCUUGCUUUCAUGAGCUUCCAUUCUAGAUUUUAGCGGGGGGUCGGGGGUGGGGGACGGAGGCGGACAAUGAAUACAUCAGUACAUAUGCAAUGUGGCAGGUGGUGAUAACCGCUAAGAAGAAAAAUAAAGCGAGGUAUGGGGAAGAGAGGGUGAAGAGUGAGCUGGUUUAUAUAGUCUGGUGAUUCAUUCAUUCAUUCAUUCAUUCAUUUAUUCAUGUUAAGUUGGACAUCUGGUUAUUGACAGCUUCCUAUGUGCAAGCAGAAUGCCAGGCUCCGUGAAGGGAAAGUCUUCCCCCUGGAGCUCCCCAUCCAGUGGGGGAGGCAAAACCCAUCACAUAAUCCCAGAAAUGAAAACUGGAGGAGGUACCUGGAGAGGCAGGCAAGGGUUCUCUAAGGAUGCCACAGAUGGGCCUUGUGUUUACUCAUUUAUUCUUUCAAAUAUUCAUUUACUGCAUGAUAAGUAAAUAGGUGUCAGCGGCCGGGCACAGUGGCUCAUGCCUGUAAUCUCAGCACUUUGGGAGACUGAGGCGGGAGGAUGGCUUGAGCCCAGGAGUUGGAGACCAGCCUGGGCAACAUAGUGAGACCCAUCUCUGCCAAAAAAUAAAAAAUUAGCUGGGCAUGGUGCUGCUUACCUGUGGUCUCAGCUACUCAGGAGGCUGAGGCAGGAGGAUCACUUGAGCCCAGGAGGUCAAAGCCACUAUAAGCUGUGAUUGCACCUCUGCAUUUCAGCCUGGAUAACAAAGUGAGACCCUGUUGCAAAAAAAAAAAAAGAAAAAAAAAAGUGCCGGGGAUGGGUACAGCAGUGAGCUCCCCUGCCCUGGAGGACAAAAACUGAACAAGAUACAGUGUUCCAACACAGGUUCCUCUCUGGCCCUUUUCUUCCUUUCUAAAAUUAAGGGGUUCAUUUCCAUAAUUUCCAUAGAGUUGCACAUAAUAUUAUUAUAUAUUUUUUACUUGUCCACUUAUCAUCUCCACCAUCAUGACCCUUGUCCAAGGUACCAUCGUCUUGUCUCCCUGCAACCUCCCUGCAACUUGGCUCCCAUCUUGGCCUCAUCCCUGGCUCCCAUGCCUGGCUCCCAUCUUGGCCUCCUACAGUUCAUUCUCCCCAUGGCCACCAAAACAACUGCUACAUUUCAUGGACCAUGAAAUGUUGGACCAUGUUUCUCAUCUGCUUAAAACCUUCCCAAGACUUUCCCUUGCUUUAGACUAAAACCUAAACUUCUGGCCUAUUGCCCUAAUUCAGCCCGCCCCCCUUUCUGAGCUUGUAGACCAGUGGAGGAAGACAGGUAACUAAAAAAGUAAAUUUUUAAAGAGAGAGUUUCAGGCUACAGUGAUUGUUAUAAAGGAAAUGGAACAUCAUGAUGGGGUGGAAAAAGAGAGACCAAGCUGCUAGUGUUACACAGGGUGGUCAGGAAGGGUGUCUCAGAGGAGAUUAAUAGAGAUUGAAAGAUAAGAAGGGACUAGCCAUGGGGAGAAUGAGGGAAAUGCAUUCCAGGUGGAGGAAACAGCAAGUGCAAAUGACCUGGGGUGUGAGAGACAGUGAACAAUCACAUUCCCUCCUGCUUCAGUCUGGUGUUCCUAGGGUCAGAAAGGGUUCUCAGCUGGCCCCUCUGUAAGCCUAAUCUGUUGAAGGCAACUUUUCUCCAGAGAUCUGGGCAUUCCCACAGGAGGUUUCAGAAAGCAAUAAAUCCUUCCUGAUGAGAGGGAAAAAAUGACUCUAUAAUGGUGAAAUUUCCAGGCAUUACUGCAGGCAUUACGGUGCCUUCCAGGUACAGCUAAAAUAACACCUAGAAGUGCGGUUCUUCUCUACUCCAUAUAACCAAGGAGUGGAGAUGCAUGUUUGUUGGGCACCUACUACAAGUAGUCCUCUGAAGGUAUAACAUCCAUCAGCUUCCACAUCUGUAAAUAAGAGAUGAGGUUAUUUAUAGAUGUGGAAGCUAAAGCUCCGAGAGAAGGUGUCUUGCCCAAUAUCUUGCUGGCAAGUGCUGGCACAACCAGAUAUGGGAAUCUCUUGUUUGACUCCAAAAUCAACGGGCUAUCCAAAUACCAGAGCAGCCUCUCUGCAAAGUCCUUUCUCCAUCAGUUCAUUUAUUGAUUAAUGGAAUCAUUCCAGAUGUUUACUGAGCAUCUACUGUGUGCCUCAGCAUGGGUGUUGGUGCUGGGAAUUGAGGGUGAGUAAUUUAUAUGGUCCCUGUCCUCGUGGAGCCACACACCUCUCUUGCCAAGGCCAGGAACAGACAGAAAACCUUGUUACUUGUUUUUCUUCUGUAUUGUUUUUUUCAUUUUUAAAUUCCCUUUUAUCUGCAUUCCCCUCCCACUAGCCCAUAGGAAAUGGUUGUCAUGUGUCAACCGUAUAUUGUUUUGUUUGGGUUUGUUUUUGCUUUUGCUUUUAGAGAUCGGGACUCACUCUGUCAUCCAGGUUGGAGUGCAGUGGCAUGAUCAUGGCUCAUUGCAACCUAAAACUCCUGGGCUCAAGUGAACCUUCUGCCUCGGCCUCCCAAAAUGUUGGGAUUACAGGUGUGAGCCACUGCGCCCGGCCUGUAUAUUGCUUUGUUUGUAUGAGUUCUUGAAAACUGUGUUUGGUGUUUUGUGUGCACUUUAAAACUUGCAUAUAUGGUUUGUGUUAUACAUCACAUUCUAUUUAUUUUUCUCUAAGAUCCAUCCACGUUGCUGUGGGUACACCCAGCCUGCUGCUUGUAAUAGCUGCACAGUUGUUCACGAUGACACAAGUCCCCUUUCCACUGUCCACCCGCUAUGUGGUCACCCAGAAGACCUCCAACUCCCACCACCACAAUGAAUGCAUCCACGAGCAUCCUCCCAUGUGUCUGCUUAUGAGCCAGUGUGAUGAUUUUUUAAAAAAACAUUUCCUGCAGGUUCAGAAUUGACACAUCACAGAGUAUGUUGCACUUAAUUUAACUAAGCACACCCAAGUCUCCCUACAGAUGUCUGUUCCAGGCUGCAUCUCACCAGCAGUGCUUGAGAGUUCCUACAGCUCCACAUCCCAGCCAGCAUUUGGUAUUAUCCAGAUAUGUAGGUUUUGACAGUCUAACACGUACAAGGUAACAUCUCAGUAUAUUUAAAUUUGCAUUUCUCUGAUUACUAAUGAGUCUGAGACUCUCUUCAUAUGCUUAUUGUUCUCUUGUAUAAAUAUCACCUGUGCACAUAGUGGCCCAUUUUUCUAUCAGGAUUCCUGUUUUUUUCUUGAUGAUUUGCAGGAUUCCUUUGUAUAAUGCAGAUUUUAAGUCCCUUGUGGAUUUUAGACAUUGCAAAUAUCUUCUUCUGCUUUGUCACCUACCUGUUAACUUUGCCUAUGGUGUCCUUUAUUAAGCAGAAAUCUUUUUAAAGUGAUCAAGAUAAUCUAUUUUUGGCUGUAUAGUUUGUGCUUUUAAAGUUUUUGUUUGAGUCCUCCCCUGCCCCUAAGUUGCAAACAGUUUUGUUUAUUAAUUUUAUAUUUUUAUUUUUUACUUUAGGUCUUUAACCAAUUGUGUGUGUGUGUGUGUGUGUGUGUGUGUGUGUGUGUGUGUGUGAUUUGGUAGGGAGCCAACUUCAUUCAUUCCCUAUAGCUGGCUAGUUUUCUGAAAACUACCUAUGAAAUAACUUGUCCUUUCCCCAGCUGAUCUGUGGGCCACCUUUGUCAUAUGAAGCCUCUUGCACUCCCCACUCUGCUCCAUUGGGCUUCUUGUGCUUAUGUCACUGUGGUCCUGUUUUUAUUAGCAUGGCUUUAUAGUGAGCUUUAGUGCCUGUAGCCCUUGUCUCUCUUCUUUGUUCUUUUUUAGGGCACACUUGGCUAUUUGUGGACCUUUAAUCCUCUCUACAAACUUUUUAGUAAGUUUGUUAUGGGACAGUUUCUCUUCCCUUGCACUCAUUUCCUAAUCCUGAUCACCAGUUUGCCACCAAAGCCUACCCACAGCUCCUCUACCCAGUGAAACCCCUGAGGAAUGUUGCCAUGGUUAAUACUAAGUGUCAACUUGAUUGGACUGAAGGAUGCAAAGUAUUGCUCCUGGGUGUGACUGUGAGGGUGUUGCCAAAGGAGAUUAACAAUUGAGUCAGUGGACUGGGAGAAGCAGACCCACCCUCAGUGUGGGUGGGCACCAUCCAAUCAACCACCAGUGUGGCUGAAAUAGAGCAGGCAGAAGAAGGUGGGAGAAGCUGACUUGCUGAGUCUUCUGGCCUCCAUCUUUCUUCCAUGCUAGAUGCUUCCUGCCCUGGAACAUCGGACUCCAAGUUCUUUGGCUUUUGGACUCUUGGGCUUACACCAGUGGCUCUCAGGUGUUUGCCCACAGACUGAAGCCUGCACUGUAAGCUACUCUACGUUUGAGGUUUUGGGACUUGGACUGAGCCACUACUGGCUUCCUUCCUCUUCAAUUUGCAGACAGCCUGUUGUGGGACUUCACCUUGUGAUUGCGUGAGUCAAUUCUCCUUAAUAAACUCCCUUUCAUAUAUACCUCUAUCCUAUUAGUUCUGUCCCCCUGAGGAACCCUGACUAAUACAAAUGUGGACAGACAGGUCCCUGGAAAGAAACCUGGGGCCAAUCUUCCAAUCAGCUGGAAAGCCAAGGAAAGCAAUUUCCCUACAAAAAUGAGUGAGACAGCCUGAUUGUCUUUAUUAAGCCCUGGGUUUCCUGGCCCAAGUUCCUGAGGAGCCUGGGAACUCCAAGACGCAAUGGAAAGGAGGCGAGUCAGCAAAAGGAGGAAAUCAAAGCCACAGAGAUCAAGAGCUAAUUAACUGAUCCUCCUAAGAUAAUGUUUCAUUAAAAUCCAGUUCUUCUGCCCUGUGGGGACUGAUAUCUCUCCUACUGCCUCUCCAUUGCCCUUUUCCACCCAUUCCUGAUCUCAUCUGCCUCCGCUCUGAUCUUUCCCCAAGUCUUCUCCCUCCUCCAAUCCAACCUCCCCCCAGCUACUAGGGUAGACUUUUAAAGGCACAAGUCUGACCAUGUCACUCCCUAUUUAUAAGUCUUCACCACUCAUUGCCUGAGACAAAGGGCAAACUCCCAAGAUAAGGCAAAGGCCGUUCAUUCAUUUAACACAGAUUUCCUCAGUGCCUCUCCUCUCUCACAAGCUUGGGGAUGGUAGGACACAGAAACAAGUUUCUGACCCUUGCCCUGUUUCUCCAGCUUCUUUACCCACCACUCCUUUCCACAUUCCUGCAUUUCAGCAAAAACUUUCCAACCUCCGGCUUAGUGAUAGCCAGUCCCUAGGGAAACUGUUGUUAGUAUCCAUGCUUUGCUCAGCUCACUUCCACAUUGACUCUGGGCUUGGCCUUGUGACUUGCAUUUACCAGUGGAAUGUGGUGGCAGUAAUGCCAGUUCCAGGCCUAAGCCUUGAAAGGGUCGGGAAGCUUCUGCUUUUGUGCUCUUGGGAGCUCUGAACCACUGUGUAGGCAGCCAGGCUACCCUGCUGGAAGGGACCAUGUGGAAAAACCACAUGGAAAGUGAGAAGCCCUGCAAUUACAUGGAAAGAGACCAGAGGCUCAGCCCUCCCAAUGUUACAGCUGAAUGCAGCCUUCCAGCCAUACCUACCAAGGCACCAGGCAUAUGAAUGAAGUCGUCGUGGACGUCCCAGCCUCACCUAACAUCUGACUGCAGCUGCAUGAGAGACCCCCAAGUGAGAGCAGCAGCAGAACCAUCCAACUAUAAGCCCCAUUCUCUUUCUAUUAGUUCUUAUGAGAGCUAUUCAUUCUCAUGAGCUUUUUAGAAAGUGCCAACCUGGCUGGGCACUGUGGUUCACGCCUGUAAUCCCAGCACUUUGGGAGGCUAAGAUUGGUGGAUCACCUGAGGUCAGGAGUUUGAGACCAGCCUGACCAACAUGGUGAAACCCCGUCUCUACUAAAAAAAUUACAAAAAUUAGCCAAGCGUGUUGGCAGGCACCUGUAAUUCCAGCUACUCAGGAGGCUGAGGCAGGAGAAUUGCUUGAACCCAGGAGGUGGAGGUUGCAGUGAGCCAAGAUCAUGCUGCUAGACUCCAGCCUGGGCAACAGAGUGAGAUUCCAUCUCAAAACACAAACCAAAAGCGCCAAUCCACAAAGACAUGAGAAAUAAUAAAAUAGUUUUGUGUUAAGUCACUACAUCUUGGAGUUGUUUGUUACACAGCACGAGAUAUCUGAUACAGAGGCCUUGCUCCUGCUAUUUCCACAGCUUAGAAUGUUUCUCCAACCCCAGCCAUCUUCUUUACCCCACAUGGUGAACUCCUAUUCACCUUUCAGAGCCCAUAUUCAGCAUCACCUUCCCUGCCUCCCAUAGUCUGAGUUAAUGUCUCUUUCCUCUGGGAAACUGUAUGAGACUAACCUACAAUACUUAUUUUUCUGUUUCUUCCGCUGGCUAUGAAUGACAAUAUUUACUCAUGUAAUGCUCACAAGAACCCU
rnacentral:lncRNA from 10 species